CGUAAAACAGUGAGAUCCCAGCGCCUCGGGCUCCAUCGGAACCCCCGCCCGGGGCCCAGCCGCCCACGGCAGGAGCCGCGCCCGCCGCCUGCCGGCCCGGCCCGGCCUCGCCGCCCAGGAGGGGCACGGGGUGUAGGGGGGAAAGUGUUCCUUUUUUCUGGCAUCGCAAGAUCCAGUUCACGGACUGUGUUUCUGUCAGAGCAGUCCCGAGUCCUCGGCAUUAAAAAGCUGCCUGGGGCCGGGGAGCGUGGCUGGGGUCUGCUGAGCCACCUCCUGUCCCAGCCAGGCUGCCAGCCUUUGGCAUGUGUCUCUGGGCACCCUUCAGCAGGAGGAAACUCAGCGACACCUUGGGAUGUAACCAGAGUGAGCACCAGCAGCUGCUGCCCCCUUCUCCCUCAGUGUGUAAGUGCUGGAUGGCUGGGGACAGCCUCUCAGACCUGCCCCUGCACUGCAGCUCUUUGUGAGAAAAAAACACCCAAGACUUCAGUAGGUUGCACCCCUCCCUACCAGCUCCUUUAUUUUUUUCUCCUUUGCUCCCACACCGCAGGAGGAAAAGUUGCAUUUUAUCCUGAAGGCUGCUGCUGCGAGAGAGGCCUUCACAACUACACAGCAGCUGAACAAAAAAGGCCAGAAAUAACCAUUAGUGUGUACAGGCUGAAGCAGCCAUCUGGUGUUACAACAAACCCAGCUUUAGGGUUCUGUGUAUCAAGAUAAAAGAGCUGCAGAUGGCUAAGAUUUCAAACCCAGUGGCAAACAUCAGUAAGGAUGGCAAACUAGUCUGCAUAAAUCAUGUACCAUCUCAAGAAUGCUCCGUUCUGCACUAUGUUCUGAAAGUUCCCAGGGCGAAGUAUUUCUCGCUAUGGAUAAACGCAUGAAGUGUUGGAAAGUUAAUCCAGUAACAGUUCCUGCACCGACCGUGUUGCUCAAAGAAUAUUUGCAGUUGGAGGAUUAACAUGGGACUCAUUUAAUUUUAGUACUGAUUUAUCAUCAGAAAGAAUUAUUGUGUAAACAUUAAAUAAUUGAUUUAAACAUUAACAAUAAAGUACUUCUGACGACAAACCA
rnacentral:lncRNA from 1 species